UACAGAGGGUGCGAGCGUUAAUCGGAAUUACUGGGCGUAAAGCGCACGUAGGCGGCUUGGUAUGUCGGGUGUGAAAUCCCCGGGCUCAACCUGGGAACUGCAUCCGAAACUGCCUUGCUAGAGUAUGGGAGAGGGAAGUGGAAUUUCCGGUGUAGCGGUGAAAUGCGUAGAUAUCUGGAGGAACACCGGUGGCGAAGGCGGCAUCCUGGACCAACACUGACGCUGAGGAGCGAAAGCCAGGGGAGCAAAGCGGG
rnacentral:rRNA from 1 species